GGGGCAGCGGGGAGUAGCAAUACUUCGCCGGCGACCGGGCGCACGGGUGAGUAACACGUGUGCAACCAACCCCGUACCGGGAGAUAACCCGCGGAAACGUGGACUAACAUCCCAUAAGACUCUAGAGCCGCAUGGCUCUGGAUUUAAAAUUCCGGUGGUACGGGACGGGCACGCGCGACAUUAGGUAGUUGGCGGGGUAACGGCCCACCAAGCCGACGAUGUCUAGGGGUUCUGAGAGGAAGGUCCCCCACACUGGAACUGAGACACGGUCCAGACUCCUACGGGAGGCAGCAGUGAGGAAUAUUGGUCAAUGGGCGAGAGCCUGAACCAGCCAAGUCGCGUGAGGGAAGAAUGGUCUAUGGCCUGUAAACCUCUUUUGUCAAGGAAGAAUAAAAGGUACGUGUACCUUCUUGCCAGUACUUGACGAAUAAGCAUCGGCUAACUCCGUGCCAGCAGCCGCGGUAAUACGGGGGAUGCGAGCGUUAUCCGGAUUUAUUGGGUUUAAAGGGCGCGUAGGCGGGACGCCAAGUCAGCGGUAAAAGACUGCAGCUAAACUGUAGCACGCCGUUGAAACUGGCGACCUCGAGACGAGACGAGGGAGGCGGAACAAGUGAAGUAGCGGUGAAUGCUUAGAUAUCACUUGGAACCCCGAUAGCGAAGGCAGCUUCCCAGGCUCGAUCUGACGCUGAUGCGC
rnacentral:rRNA from 1 species